rnacentral:rRNA from 1 species
AGUGAACGCUGGCGGUAGGCCUAACACAUGCAAGUCGAACGGCAGCACAGUAAGAGCUUGCUCUUACGGGUGCGAGUGGCGGACGGGUGAGGAAUACAUCGGAAUCUACUUUUUCGUGGGGGAUAACGUAGGGAAACUUACGCUAAUACCGCAUACGACCUACGGGUGAAAGCAGGGGAUCUUCGGACCUUGCGCGAUUGAAUGAGCCGAUGUCGGAUUAGCUAGUUGGCGGGGUAAAGGCCCACCAAGGCGACGAUCCGUAGCUGGUCUGAGAGGAUGAUCAGCCACACUGGAACUGAGACACGGUCCAGACUCCUACGGGAGGCAGCAGUGGGGAAUAUUGGACAAUGGGCGCAAGCCUGAUCCAGCCAUACCGCGUGGGUGAAGAAGGCCUUCGGGUUGUAAAGCCCUUUUGUUGGGAAAGAAAAGCAGCAGGUUAAUACCCCGCUGUUCUGACGGUACCCAAAGAAUAAGCACCGGCUAACUUCGUG